GAUGAACGCUGGCGGCGUGCUUAACACAUGCAAGUCGAACGAAGCACUUAAUGAGAUCCUUCGGGUGAUCGUUUUGUGACUGAGUGGCGGACGGGUGAGUAACGCGUGGGUAACCUGCCCUGUACAGGGGGAUAACAGUCAGAAAUGACUGCUAAUACCGCAUAAGCGCACGAGGGGGCAUCCUCUUGUGUGAAAAACUCCGGUGGUACAGGAUGGGCCCGCGUCUGAUUAGCCAGUUGGCAGGGUAAUGGCCUACCAAAGCGACGAUCAGUAGCCGGUCUGAGAGGAUGAACGGCCACAUUGGAACUGAGACACGGUCCAAACUCC
rnacentral:rRNA from 1 species